rnacentral:tRNA from 1 species
CCGGCAAUAGCUCAGGCGGUAGAGGGGACGACUGUAGUAGAAUAGUCAUCGGAUGGUCCCUGGUUCGAUUCCGGGUUGCCGGA